rnacentral:tRNA from 1 species
GAGGGUAUAGCUCAGUGAUAGAGCGCAUGCUUAGCAUGCACGAGGUUCUGGUUUCAAUCCCCAUUACUUCA